AAGGAUAUAUUCGGAACAUCUUCUUCAGAAGAUGCGGAAUAACGUGACAUAUUGUAUUCAGUUUUGAAUGUUUAUUUAACAUUCAAAUAUUUUUUGGUUAAAGUGAUAUUGCUUAUGCGAGCGCUUGACUAAAAAGAAAUUGUACAUUGAAAACUAGAUAAGUAAGUAAAAUAGAUUUUACCAAGCAAAACCGAGUGAAUAAAGAGUUUUAAAUAAGCUUGAAUUCAUAAGAAAUAAUCGCUAGUGUUCGAAAGAACACUCACAAGAUUAAUAACGCGUUUAAAUCUUUUUAUAAAAGAACGUAACUUCAUGUUAACGUUUGACUUAUAARAAUGGUGGAAACAUA
rnacentral:misc_RNA from 1 species